AGAGGAAGAGGAAAGAGAAACAAAAGUCCUUGGUUUGAGUCAGGGAGAGAUUUCGAGCUGAGAGUUGGUUGCUGGGUGGGGGCCGUGGAAGGGGUGCAUGCAGUUCCUGGUUAUGGCUCCCCCGCCCCACCUUGCGAAGUUUCUGUCAGUCCAGAGGGGGAACCCAGCAGCAGCAGGAAGUGGCCUCUCAGGAAGGACUCAGGGCAAGAAAGUGCAGGGAAGAGCAUAGAAGCUGAUUUCUAGUUCCCAGAGCAUCUGAAGUCAGCACUCCUGGGUUUGGAGAAGCCAAUCCCCCAGGCAAGGUGACCUCCAACCCUAAAAGGAUCUACCCAGCCUGUCUAAAAGAACAUCCUUCAUUCCGAAGGGUCUUCCAAGCUACAGUCUCUACUUCUUUUCUACACUGUUAGUAUCCAUUCCCCCACCCCUCCCCUUGCGUGUUUCAGUGAAAGGUGAGAAAGCUAGUAUACUGAGUUUACCCAGUCUUCCCAUUUAUAGCCUUUGUAAUUAAGCAAUUUGGUCUACAUGCAAAACUUGCUCCAUUCAAAAAAUUUUUUCAAAGGGAAGCAACAAUAAAUACCAUAUAAGAGAUACUUUUUUAUCCUCAUUUGAUUAUCUGUAACAUUAUCUGGUUUGUAAACUACCUUGCCCUUGAUUCUUUUUGCUUUUGUUUUCAAAUUUUAUAGUAAAUUAUUCACUGCCAUAUUCUUUAAAUCAUUACUUUUUUUUUUAUUCAGGAGAUUGUCAACUAGGUCAGUAACUUCAAAUCAAAGAAGCAUGGGAUGAACCCUGAAUUCUGCCAGAAGGGUACACAGCCUAAUAUGGGGCAGGAACCCCCAGUUGAGUGCUCCAGUUAAGCCUGACCAGCCAUGCCUGCUACCCUACAGGCAAAGCUGAUGUCCUGUGGUCACCUUCACAUCAAGCAUA